rnacentral:rRNA from 1 species
AUUGAACGCUGGCGGCAUGCUUUACACAUGCAAGUCGAACGGUAACAGGCCGCAAGGUGCUGACGAGUGGCGAACGGGUGAGUAAUGCAUCGGAACGUGCCCAGUCGUGGGGGAUAACGCAGCGAAAGCUGUGCUAAUACCGCAUACGAUCUAUGGAUGAAAGCGGGGGACCGUAAGGCCACGAGCGAUUGGAGCGGCCGAUGUCGGAUUAGGUAGUUGGUGGGGUAAAGGCUCACCAAGCCAACGAUCUGUAGCUGGUCUGAGAGGACGACCAGCCACACUGGGACUGAGACACGGCCCAGACUCCUACGGGAGGCAGCAGUGGGGAAUUUUGGACAAUGGGCGCAAGCCUGAUCCAGCAAUGCCGCGUGCAGGAAGAAGGCCUUCGGGUUGUAAACUGCUUUUGUACGGAACGAAAAGGUUUGGGUUAAUACCCUGGGCCGAUGACGGUACCGUAAGAAUAAGCACCGGCUAACUACGUGCCAGCCGCCGCCGUAAUAC